AAAGGUGGCUGGAAAUGGAAGAUGAGAGGAUCCUGGACAACCUGGGGGCAGAGGGACUUCAUGGCUGGGAGUGGGAGUGGAGGAGAAGGUGGCAUUUUGGUGGAUAGGUGGAGGAAGAGCAUAGGCACAGAUGGCCACGUGGAGUGUGGUCCACAGAUAAGUCACCUGGUGGAGUGCAGCCACAGUGCCUGAGUCAGGAGGUCUCCGCUCUUGUUUCAGGAACACAGUCAUCCCUAAGAAAUGGAUUGGGUGACAAGUGGUCUGCAUGCUGCACAUGGGCACUGGGGCAAAUGGGACAAACAAAACAGUCAAAGAGGAGAGCAGGGAGAGAAGACAGAUUCAGUGUUGCCCUCGGCAGAUGCAGAGGAAACGAGCUCAAAACCCUUUCACAUGUGCCGGGCGCAAGCGACGCUGCCCAGAAACCCCGCGCCAACCCCUGCAGCCGAGGAAUUGGAGCUUCUGUGUUACUCAAAACAAUGCAUCUGUCUUUCAUUACACUUGGAUUUAGAUGAAAUCGGGGCGCUUGUUGGCAAACCAGUGAAGAUUUCAAAUAAGAGAAAUUGUAUUAUAUUAGAAUCAUAACGUUUUAAAAAUAAUUCUGUAUUGAAGGAAGUUUUUAAAGAAUGGCUAAUGGUGCCUUACAUGCAAUGAAGCCCUUUCAUUCAUUCUUUCCCCCUGUCCCCCCAUUCUCAUCUUCACUGUCCUAAAUGAGGCCUCCCUGGCCCCUUGCCUGGGCCGUCACAGAGGCCUCUGAGUGAUGUUUCUCCUCCCAGCUUUCCCCUUUCUGCCAGGCUCCCUCCCUCCAGUUAGCUUCCCGAAGCCUGGACAGGGUGAACCGUCUUGAAGGCUUGAAUUUGAGCCCCCUCCUUGCUCACCCCACGCUGGGCCAGCACCUCUCCCCUGGGUUACCCUAGUGCGCUGUGCUUACCCGGAUCUCAACACUUAUCACAAGGAUGGAGGUUUGUGGUCAUUUCCCCUUUUUCCCCCUGAGACAGGGGUCUCCACAGGGGUGGGACUUUGACCUCUUUAUGGGUGUAUUCUUGGUACUGGUUCCUCCAGGCAACCAAUAAAUAUCCACUGGCUGAUGGGAUGAGUGAUGUCACUCCCCAUCCGCUGUUCCUCACUGAGAUUUG
rnacentral:antisense_RNA from 1 species